AUUCUUGUAGUUGAAUAACAACGAUGAUUUUUCAUGUCAUUGGU
rnacentral:tRNA from 1 species